CACAGGCACGUACAGAAGGAAGGCGAUACGAAGACAAAAGAGAAUGUUACCGACAAGCCAAGGAAUGCCUGGAGCUACCAGAAGUUACAACAGAUUCUCCCUCUGAGCCCUCAGAAGGAACUAAUCUGUUCAACAUCUUGAUUUUGGACUUCUGGCCUCCAGAACUGGAUCACAAGAAGCUCUGGGGUCCAGAUUUUACACGGUCGCCCGUCACCCAACCACGUGUGCAAAUACUUGUAUGCAGAUAGAACUCGAGUUUGUCCAAAGACCAAUCAUCUCUGAAUGUCUUCUGCUAAGAAUUUAAUAUAUAUAUUUCUAUUUAGCCCUCUAGUCUAAAGUCUGGGUGGAACCAUGGCCAGAGGAAGUGACACUAUGUGACUUUUUGAAACGUCUACUUUUGGAAAUCAUGCUGUGAAGAGACUUGAUCUCAGGAUCUUUCUUGGAGCUCUUGGAAACAGUGGUAAAGAAACCAUGAACCAAGUGGGCUGUUGGACAGAGGAGUCCCCACGCUAUAACAGGGAGUAGAGGAGAUACCUGAUUUCUUUGGCUUGCCUUUCCCAGAAGAUGAGGAGCAGCAGAUCACUGGUGAUACAGAAUAUGCGUCAGGGCAACUGUCCUUCAUGAAUGAAGUCUCUGCGCCAUUGGGAGCACUCUCUAUCCCAAGAAGUGAGACUGGAAAGUGCCCAUGAGGUUUUCACAGGCUCCCCAGGAAACGUCACUCAUCAUUCACUUCCUCUUACAACCCAUUAGCCAGUGACUCUCUCAGUAAGAGUUAGACUCAUGAGCAAAGGGCUGUGAAGUGCUGUCCGCCAUAUGCCUGGAAGGGGAGGCUACCCAGAUAUUGGAAAACACGAGUGAUGCCUACCUUCAUCUAUACCAUUGACUGAAAGGGCUGGUCUUAAUCAUUUUUAUAGUAAGACUCCGUACCUAACAGACGAAAGCCUCCGAUGCUGUGUUUCGACUUCAAGAAGGCCUUGGCUCUUCUUAGACCUUGGCAAUUCCAUACAAAUUGUAGAAAGUGUUUGUGAAGUUCUGAAAAAGAUCCCGAAUUCACAGCUGAAUCAAGGGAGAAUCGACACUGAAAAUAUCAAGUGUUCUAAUUCAGUAACAGAAUUUCUCUCCUUUAAUCCAGGUCUUCUUUAGUUUCUUUCAAUAAUGUUUUAUAAUGUUUAAAAAAAUUUUUUAAACAUUUAUUCAUUUUUGAGAGAGAGACAGAG